UACGUAGGGUGCAAGCGUUAAUCGGAAUUACUGGGCGUAAAGCGUGCGCAGGCGGCUUUGCAAGACAGAUGUGAAAUCCCCGGGCUUAACCUGGGAACUGCAUUUGUGACUGCAUGGCUGGAGUGCGGCAGAGGGGGAUGGAAUUCCGCGUGUAGCAGUGAAAUGCGUAGAGAUGUGGAGGAACACCGAUGGCGAAGGCAGCCCCCUGGGUCAAGACUGACGCUCAUGCACGAAAGCGUGGGGAGCAAACAGG
rnacentral:rRNA from 1 species